UGGGCGAAAGCCUGAUGCAGCCAUGCCGCGUGUGUGAAGAAGGCCUUCGGGUUGUAAAGCACUUUCAGCGAGGAGGAAAGGUUAACGGUUAAUACCCGUUAGCUGUGACGUUACUCGCAGAAGAAGCACCGGCUAACUUCGUGCCAGCAGCCGCGGUAAUACGAGGGGUGCAAGCGUUAAUCGGAAUUACUGGGCGUAAAGCGUACGCAGGCGGUUUGUUAAGCGAGAUGUGAAAGCCCCGGGCUCAACCUGGGAACUGCAUUUCGAACUGGCAAACUAGAGUCUUGUAGAGGGGGGUAGAAUUUCAGGUGUAGCGGUGAAAUGCGUAGAGAUCUGAAGGAAUACCGGUGGCGAAGGCGGCCCCCUGGACAAAGACUGACGCUCAGGUACGAAAGCGUGGGGAGCAAACAGGAUUAGAUACCCUGGUAGUCCACGCCGUAAACGAUGUCUACUCGGAAUUUGGUGUCUUGAACACUGGGUUCUCAAGCUAACGCAUUAAGUAGACCGCCUGGGGAGUACGGCCGCAAGGUUAAAACUCAAAUGAAUUGACGGGGGCCCGCACAAGCGGUGGAGCAUGUGGUUUAAUUCGAUGCAACGCGAAGAACCUUACCUACUCUUGACAUCCUCAGAA
rnacentral:rRNA from 1 species